UACGUAGGUGGCAAGCGUUGUCCGGAUUUACUGGGCGUAAAGAGCGCGCAGGCGGUCGUCCAAGUCGCGUGUGAAAGCCCCUGGCUCAACUAGGGAGAGUCAUUCGAUACUGUUCGACUCGAAGGCAGGAGAGGGAAGUGGAAUUCCGGGUGUAGUGGUGAAAUGCGUAGAUAUCCGGAGGAACACCAGUGGCGAAGGCGACUUUCUGGCCUGUUCUUGACGCUGAGGCGCGAAAGCGAGGGGAGCAAACGGG
rnacentral:rRNA from 1 species